UCCUUCAUUAUUGUCUUUGUCAAUAUUACAAAUGUCCUCGCCAGUGACUCCGUCGAAUGAAUGGUUGCUAUGGUACAAAGGUCGACUAGUACGAACUACUUUUUUUUCAAUUCUUCAUCAUCCGAUUGUUUUUGAUAGCGCCCUUGUUUCCGGUUAAGAAUUAAUGCGCAUACAGAAAAUGUCAGGACGAUCGUACCAAACACAGCACCAACUGUAAAAGCUACUAUUGUCAUAGUUCUCUUUUCAGAAAUGUAUUCACAGUUUCCUUCUGAUAAUAUUAUUCUA
rnacentral:lncRNA from 1 species